rnacentral:rRNA from 1 species
CCUACGGGCGGCAGCAGUAGGGAAUAUUGCUCAAUGGGGGAAACCCUGAAGCAGCAACGCCGCGUGGAGGAUGAAGGUUUUCGGAUUGUAAACUCCUUUUGUUAGAGAAGAUAAGGACGGUAGCUAACGAAUAAGCACCGGCUAACUCCGUGCCAGCAGCCGCGGUAAUACGGAGGGGGCAAGCGUUACUCGGAAUCACUGGGCGGAAAGAGCGCGUAGGCGGGAUAGCAAGUCAGAUGUGAAAUCCUAUGGCGGAACCAUAGAACUGCAUUUGAAACUGUUAUUCUAGAGUAUGGGAGAGGUAGUUGGAAUUCUUGGUCUAGGGGUAAAAUCCGUAGAGAUCAAGAGCACUCCUC